GUCAGAGGGGAAUAAACCCGGCGAAAGUCGGACUAAUACCGCAUAAAACAGGGGCACCGCAUGGUGAUAUUGUUAAAGAAAUUCGCUGAUAGAUGGGCAUUGCGUUCCAUUAGGGUAGUUGGUGAGGUAACGGCUCACCAAGCCGACGAUGGAUAGGGGAACUGAGAGGUUGGUCCCCCCACACUGGUACUGAGACACGGACCAGACUCCUACGGGAGGCAGCAGUGAGGAAUAUUGGUCAAUGGGCGGGAGCCUGAACCAGCCAAGUCGCGUAGAAGGAAGAAGGAUCUAUGGUUCGUAAACUUCUUUGCAGGGGAAUAAAGUGCAGGACGUGUCCUGUUUUGUAUGUACCCUGAGAAUAAGGAUCGGCUAACUCCGUGCCAGCCGCGGC
rnacentral:rRNA from 1 species